CAGUAGCCACGGUAAUACGUAGGUGGCAAGCGUUGUCCGGAAUUAUUGGGCGUAAAGGGCUCGCAGGCGGUUUCUUAAGUCUGAUGUGAAAGCCCCCGGCUCAACCGGGGAGGGUCAUUGGAAACUGGGAAACUUGAGCGCAGAAGAGGAGAGUGGAAUUCCACGUGUAGCGGUGAAAUGCGUAGAGAUGUGGAGGAACACCAGUGGCGAAGGCGACUCUCUGGUCUGUAACUGACGCUGAGGAGCGAAAGCGUGGGGAGCGAACAGGAUUAGAUACCCCCGUAGUCCCUGUCUCUUAUAC
rnacentral:rRNA from 1 species